GCCUGUGGCACAGUUGGUAGAGCAUUGUGCUAACAAUGCAAAGGUCGUGGGUUCAAAUUCUGAGGAAAGCA